GGGAUUGGUAAGGGAGUAGGGAGCUGCUGGAGGCCGUCUUUCCCGCCUGAGAAUGAAGCCGACACAGAGGAAAGCAAAGAGUGGCUGUCUUCCUUGUUUUCUUUGAAAGAAGAUCAUUUUCUGAAGGCAGAGAGAUCAGCCUGUCGGUGGGUGGGACCCAUCGAAGAAUGCAAGGGUGAGAAACGAAAUCAGAUCUCGGAGGACUGGAAGACUCUCACGUGGACAUCAAUUACGAUCAUUAAUGGCUCACAAAUGAGUUCAGGCUCAUUUUUUGAUCCGUGGGAUUGUUUUAAAUUGAGCUCCAGAAACAGACCCUGGGAGCAGGAUUCAUGGCUGUAAGAAGAGCCAGCCAAAGUGCUCUGUCUACCAAGAGAACCUGAGCUCUAUAUAUAAGUGGAAGAGAAAAUAACGGAAGGCUGAUAGCUUCAUUUACAGUCUGAGAAGAUUCAGUUUCCUAUAAGUCAUAUUCUACAGCCAAUGGAACAAAUCUACCUUUCUGUUGAGAUCUUGCUCGAUCCGAGAUAGUUUCAGGAGACAGGUCUUCCCUUGGUGUCUUGCUUCUCCAUUAGGCUUGGGAGCUCACCACUACCCCUUGGAACACGAUGACUUCAUGAAGGCUGAUCGCCCCUCUCUGAGGCUCU
rnacentral:lncRNA from 1 species